rnacentral:rRNA from 1 species
GACGAACGCUGGCGGCGUGCCUAAUACAUGCAAGUCGAGCGGACCCUUCGGGGUANCGGCGACGGGUGAGUAACACGUGGGUAAUCCUGCCCAACUGACUGGAAUAACGCCUGGAAACGGGUGCUAAAUGCCGGAUAGGCAACUGGUAGGCAUCUACCGGUUGGGAAAGGUGCAACUGCACCGCAGAUGGAGGAGCCCGCGGCGCAUUAGCUAGUUGGUGGGGUAACGGCCUACCAAGGCGACGAUGCGUAGCCGACCUGAGAGGGUGACGGCCACACUGGGACUGAGACACGGCCCCAGACUCCUACGGGAGGCAGCAGUAGGGAAUCUUCCGCAAUGGGCGCAAGCCUGACGGAGCAACGCCGCGUGAGCGAAGAAGGCCUUCGGGUUGUAAAGCUCAGUCACUCGGGAAGAGCGGACGAGGGAGUGGAAAGCCCUCGUCGAGACGGUACCGAGAGAGGAAGCCCCGGCUAACUACGUG